GGAUUGAUGGUGACUCCACCAUAGUCACUGCUCAGAAAAGCUGAAUAAAAUGAUUAAAAACUCAUAACCGUCUUUCUCAGUUUAACUGAGAUGA
ensembl:snoRNA SNORD116 Small nucleolar RNA SNORD116